UCUAUGACCACGAUCCAGAUGAC
rnacentral:snRNA from 1 species